UACGGGGGGGGCAAGCGUUGUUCGGAAUUACUGGGCGUAAAGGGCUCGUAGGCGGCCAACUAAGUCAGACGUGAAAUCCCUCGGCUUAACCGGGGAACUGCGUCUGAUACUGGAUGGCUCGAGUUUGGGAGAGGGAUGCGGAAUUCCAGGUGUAGCGGUGAAAUGCGUAGAUAUCGGGAGGAACACCUAUGGCGAAGGCAGCUCGCUGGGACGUUACUGACGCUGAGACGCGAAAGCGUGGGGAGCGAACAGG
rnacentral:rRNA from 1 species